rnacentral:ncRNA from 2 species
UAAAUUAGAGAUAAAAACACAGUUUUGGUUGGUAGUCCAAACCUGUCUAUAUUCUUAUAGAUGGAAGUAACCUUCCCUCCUGGGGUCGUCCCUUCUCUAUGUCAAAUUU